UACGUAGGGGGCAAGCGUUGUCCGGAAUCAUUGGGCGUAAAGCGCGUGUAGGCGGCUGGCUAAGUCCGCUGUGAAAGUCGAGGGCUCAACCCUCGAAUGCCGGUGGAUACUGUCGGGCUUGAGUACGGGAGAGGCGAGUGGAAUUCCUGGUGUAGCGGUGAAAUGCGCAGAUAUCAGGAGGAACACCAGUGGCGAAGGCGGCUCUCUGGGCAAUGACUGACGCUGAGAUGCGAAAGCGUGGGUAGCAAACAGG
rnacentral:rRNA from 1 species